rnacentral:rRNA from 1 species
GACGAACGCUGGCGGCGUGCUUAACACAUGCAAGUCGAACGGUGAAGCGCCUUCCUUUUUGGUGGGUGUGGAUGAGUGGCGAACGGGUGAGUAACACGUGAGUAACCUGCCCCCUUCUUCUGGAUAACCGCAUGAAAGUGUGGCUAAUACGGGAUAUUCUGGGUCUGUCGCAUGAUGGGUCUGGGAAAGAUAUUGUUUCGGUGGGGGAUGGGCUCGCGGCCUAUCAGCUUGUUGGUGGGGUGAUGGCCUACCAAGGCGGUGACGGGUAGCCGGCCUGAGAGGGUGGACGGUCACACUGGGACUGAGACACGGCCCAGACUCCUACGGGAGGCAGCCGUGGGGAAUAUUGCACAAUGGGCGCAAGCCUGAUGCAGCGACGCCGCGUGAGGGAUGGAGGCCUUCGGGUUGUGAACCUCUUUCGCCAGUGAAGCAGGCCUGCCUCGUUUGUGGGUGGGUUGACGGUAGCUGGAUAAGAAGCGCCGGCUAACUACGUG